CUACGGGAGGCAGCAGUGAGGAAUAUUGGGCAAUGGGCGCAAGCCUGACCCAGCCAUGCCGCGUGAAGGAUGAAUGCCCUAUGGGUUGUAAACUUCUUUUGUACGGGACAAAACUCCAGGUCGUGACCAGGAUUGAUGGUACCGUACGAAUAAGCAUCGGCUAACUCCGUGCCAGCAGCCGCGGUAAUACGGAGGAUGCGAGCGUUAUCCGGAUUUAUUGGGUUUAAAGGGUGCGUAGGCGGAAUAAUAAGUCAGUGGUGAAAGCCUGCGGCUUAACCGUAGAAUUGCCAUUGAUACUGUUAUUCUUGAGUAUAGUUGAAGUGGGCGGAAUGUGUAAUGUAGCGGUGAAAUGCUUAGAUAUUACACAGAACACCAAUUGCGAAGGCAGCUCACUAAGCUGUUACUGACGCUGAGGCACGAAAGCGUGGGGAGCAAACAGGAUUAGAUACCCCGGUAGC
rnacentral:rRNA from 1 species